GACGAACGCUGGCGGCGUGCUUAACACAUAGCAAGUCGAGCGGUAAGGCCCUUUCGGGGGUACACGAGCGGCGAACGGGUGAGUAACACGUGGGUGACCUGCCCUCAGCUCUGGGAUAAGACCUGGGAAACCGGGUCUAAUACCGGAUAUGACUCCAUGACGCAUGUUGUGGGGUGGAAAGCCUUGUGCGGCUGAGGAUGGGCCCGCGGCCUAUCAGCUUGUUGGUGGGGUGAUGGCCUACCAAGGCGACGACGGGUAGCCGGCCUGAGAGGGCGACCGGCCACACUGGGACUGAGACACGGCCCAGACUCCUACGGGAGGCAGCGAGUGGGGAAUCUUGCGCAAUGGGCGAAAGCCUGACGCAGCGACGCCGCGUGAGGGAUGACGGCCU
rnacentral:rRNA from 1 species